GAUGAACGCUGGCGGCGUGCCUAAUACAUGCAAGUAGAACGCUGAAGGAAGGAGCUUGCUCUUUCCGGAUGAGUUGCGAACGGGUGAGUAACGCGUAGGUAACCUGCCUGGUAGCGGGGGAUAACUAUUGGAAACGAUAGCUAAUACCGCAUAACAGUAGAUGUUGCAUGACAACUAUUUGAAAGGGGCAAUUGCUCCACUACCAGAUGGACCUGCGUUGUAUUAGCUAGUUGGUGAGGUAACGGCUCACCAAGGCGACGAUACAUAGCCGACCUGAGAGGGGGAACGGCCAAACUGGGACUGAGACACGGCCCAGAAUCCUACGGGAGGCAGCAGUAGGGAAUCUUCGGCAAUGGACGGAAGUCUGACCGAGCAACGCCGCGUGAGUGAAGAAGGUUGUCGGAUCGUAAAGCUCUGUUGUAAGAGAAGAACGAGUGUGAGAGUGGAAAGUUCACACUGUGACGGUAUCUUACCAGAAAGGGACGGCUAACUACGUG
rnacentral:rRNA from 1 species